AUUGAACGCUGGCGGCAGGCCUAACACAUGCAAGUCGAGCGGAUGAGGGGAGCUUGCUCCUGGAUUCAGCGGCGGACGGGUGAGUAAUGCCUAGGAAUCUGCCUGGUAGUGGGGGAUAACGUCCGGAAACGGGCGCUAAUACCGCAUACGUCCAGAGGGAGAAAGUGGGGGAUCUUCGGACCUCACGCUAUCAGAUGAGCCUAGGUCGGAUUAGCUAGUUGGUGGGGUAAAGGCCUACCAAGGCGACGAUCCGUAACUGGUCUGAGAGGAUGAUCAGUCACACUGGAACUGAGACACGGUCCAGACUCCUACGGGAGGCAGCAGUGGGGAAUAUUGGACAAUGGGCGAAAGCCUGAUCCAGCCAUGCCGCGUGUGUGAAGAAGGUCUUCGGAUUGUAAAGCACUUUUAGUUGGGAGGAAGGGCAGUAAGUUAAUACCUUGCUGUUUUGACGUUACCAACAGAAUAAGCACCGGCUAACUUCGUG
rnacentral:rRNA from 1 species